GUCGUACGGGAUAGCAAUAUCCAGUGGCGAACGGGUGAGUAAUGUAUCGCUAACGUACCCCUAUGUCCGGGAUAGCUGGGGGAAACUCCAGGUAAUACCGGGUGACAUCAUCCUCUCGCAUGAGAGGAUGCUCAAAGGGCAACCGCAAAGGGAGCGGGCGAUAUCGUAUCAGCUAGUUGGUGAGGUAACGGCUCACCAAGGCGACGACGCGUAGCCGGACUGAGAGGUCGGUCGGCCACAUUGGGACUGAGACACUGCCCAGACUCCUACGGGGGGCUGCAGUAACGAAUCUUCCGCAAUGCACGCAAGUGUGACGGAGCGACGCCGCGUGUGGGACGAAGUCCUUCGGGAUGUAAACCACUGUCAGGGGUUACCAAGUUCUGAGGAACCCCAGAGGAAGGCACGGCUAACUCUGUGCCAGCAGCCGCGGUAAGACAGAGGUGCCGAGCGUUAGGCGGAAUCACUGGGCUUAAAGCGUGUGUAGGCGGGUCGUUAAGUGUCUUGUGAAAUCCCCCGGCUCAACCGGGGAAUUGCUGGGCAUACUGGCGAUCUUGAGCGAUCUAGGGGCAGAUGGAACAAGUGGUGGAGCGGUGAAAUGCGUAGAUAUCACUUGGAACGCCAAAGGUGAAGACAGUCUGCUGGGGAUCUGCUGACGCUGAGACACGAAAGCCAGGGGAGCGAACGGGAUUAGAUACCCCGGUAGUCCUGGCCCUAAACGAUGUCGACUAGAUCGUG
rnacentral:rRNA from 1 species